GACGAACGCUGGCGGCGUGCUUAACACAUGCAAGUCGAACGGUAAGGCCCUUCGGGGUACGACGAGUGGCGAACGGGUGAGUAACACGUGGGUGAUCUGCCCUGCACUUCGGGAUAAGCUUGGGAAACUGGGUCUAAUACCGGAUAGGACCACGGUCUGCAUGGAUUGUGGUGGAAAGCUUUUGCGGUGUGGGAUGGGCCCGCGGCCUAUCAGCUUGUUGGUGGGGUGAUGGCCUACCAAGGGCGACGACGGGUAGCCGGCCUGAGAGGGUGUCCGGCCACACUGGGACUGAGAUACGGGCCCAGACUCCUACGGGAGGCAGCAGUGGGGAAUAUUGCACAAUGGGCGCAAGCCUGAUGCAGCGACGCCGCGUGGGGGAUGACGGCCUUCGGGUUGGUAAACCUCUUUCAGCAGGGACGAAGGUGGACUGACGGUACCUGUAGAAGAAGCACCGGCCAACUACGUGCCAGCAGCCGC
rnacentral:rRNA from 1 species